rnacentral:rRNA from 1 species
GACGAACGCUGGCGGCGUGCUUAACACAUGCAAGUCGAACGGAAAGGCCUUUUCGGAGGUACUCGAGUGGCGAACGGGUGAGUAACACGUGGGUGAUCUGCCCUGCACUCUGGGAUAAGCCUGGGAAACUGGGUCUAAUACCGGAUAGGACCGCACUUUAGUGUGUGUGGUGGAAAGUUUUUUCGGUGUAGGAUGAGCCCGCGGCCUAUCAGCUUGUUGGUGGGGUAAUGGCCUACCAAGGCGGCGACGGGUAGCCGGACUGAGAGGUUGGUCGGCCACAUUGGGACUGAGAUACGGCCCAGACUCCUACGGGAGGCAGCAGUGGGGAAUAUUGCACAAUGGGCGCAAGCCUGAUGCAGCGACGCCGCGUGGGGGAUGACGGCCUUCGGGUUGUAAACUCCUUUCGCCAGGGACGAAGCGUUUUGUGACGGUACCUGGAGAAGAAGCACCGGCUAACUACGUA